rnacentral:rRNA from 1 species
AGGAUGAACGCUGGCGGCGUGCUUAACACAUGCAAGUCGAACGGUGAAGGAAGAGCUUGCUCCUCUGGAUCAGUGGCGAACGGGUGAGUAACACGUGAGUAACCUGCCCUUGACUCUGGGAUAAGCGUUGGAAACGACGUCUAAUACCGGAUACGAGCUUCAGCCGCAUGGCUAGGAGCUGGAAAGAACUUCGGUCAAGGAUGGACUCGCGGCCUAUCAGGUAGUUGGUGAGGUAACGGCCCACCAAGCCUACGACGGGUAGCCGGCCCUGAGAGGGUGACCGGCCACACUGGGACUGAGACACGGCCCAGACUCCUACGGGAGGCAGCAGUGGGGAAUAUUGCACAAUGGGCGCAAGCCUGAUGCAGCAACGCCGCGUGAGGGACGACGGCCUUCGGGUUGUAACCUCUUUUAGUAGGGAGAAGCGAAGUGACGGUACCUGCAGAAAAGCACCGGCUAACUACGUGUCAGCAGCCGC